UCAAACAUGGUGGCCAAAGAGGCUUCAAG
rnacentral:piRNA from 1 species